GACGAACGCUGGCGGCGUGCUUAACACAUGCAAGUCGAACGGAAAGGCCCUGCUUUUGUGGGGUGCUCGAGUGGCGAACGGGUGAGUAUCACGUGAGUAACCUGCCCUUGACUUUGGGAUAACUUCAGGAAACUGGGGCUAAUACCGGAUAGGAGCUCCUGCUGCAUGGUGGGGGUUGGAAAGUUUCGGCGGUUGGGGAUGGACUCGCGGCUUAUCAGCUUGUUGGUGGGGUAGUGGCUUACCAAGGCUUUGACGGGUAGCCGGCCUGAGAGGGUGACCGGCCACAUUGGGACUGAGAUACGGCACAGACUCCUACGGGAGGCAGCAGUGGGGAAUAUUGCACAAUGGGCGGAAGCCUGAUGCAGCAACGCCGCGUGCGGGAUGACGGCCUUCGGGUUGUAAACCGCUUUCGCCUGUGACGAAGCGUGAGUGACGGUAAUGGGUAAAGAAGCACCGGCUAACUACGUG
rnacentral:rRNA from 1 species